AGUGAACGCCGGCGGUAGGCCUAACACAUGCAAGUCGAACGGCAGCACAGUAAGAGCUUGCUCUUACGGGUGGCGAGUGGCGGACGGGUGAGGAAUACAUCGGAAUCUACUUUUUCGUGGGGGAUAACGUAGGGAAACUUACGCUAAUACCGCAUACGACCUACGGGUGAAAGCAGGGGAUCUUCGGACCUUGCGCGAUUGAAUGAGCCGAUGUCGGAUUAGCUAGUUGGCGGGGUAAAGGCCCACCAAGGCGACGAUCCGUAGCUGGUCUGAGAGGAUGAUCAGCCACACUGGAACUGAGACACGGUCCAGACUCCUACGGGAGGCAGCAGUGGGGAAUAUUGGACAAUGGGCGCAGGCCUGAUCCAGCCAUACCGCGUGGGUGAAGAAGGCCUUCGGGUUGUAAAGCCCUUUUGUUGGGAAAGAAAAGCAGCAGGUUAAUACCCCGCUGUUCUGACGGUACCCAAAGAAUAAGCACCGGCUAACUUCGUG
rnacentral:rRNA from 1 species